AUACGUAGGGAGCAAGCGUUGUCCGGAUUUACUGGGCGUAAAGGGAGCGUAGGCGGCUUUUUAAGUCGGGUGUGAAAACUAUGGGCUUAACUUAUGGGCUGCAUUUGAAACUGUUUAGCUAGAGUGCAGGAGAGGAAGGCAGAAUUCCCGGUGUAGCGGUGAAAUGCGUAGAGAUCAGGAGGAAAACCAGUGGCGAAGGCGGCUUCCUGGGCUUUAACUGACGCUGAGGCACGAAAGCGUGGGGAGCAAACAGGAUUAGAUACCCUGGUAGUCCAUGCCGUAAACGAUGAUUACUAGGUGUGGGGGUUCUGAUCCCUUCCGUGCCGGAGUUAACGCAUUAAGUAAUCCGCCUGGGGAGUACGGUCGCAAGAUUAA
rnacentral:rRNA from 1 species